GGGCCUGUGGUCCAAUGGUAAGACGCUACCUUCACAGGGUAGACACCGGAGUCCGAUUCUCCGCGGGCCCAC
rnacentral:tRNA from 1 species